UACGUAGGGGCCGAGCGUUGUCCGGAGUUAUUGGGCGUAAAGCGCGCGCAGGCGGCUUCGCGCGCCCGACGUGAAAGCCCCCGGCUUAACCGGGGAGAGUCGUUGGGGACGGCGGAGCUUGAGGGCGGGAGAGGUCGGUGGAAUUCCCGGUGUAGUGGUGAAAUGCGUAGAGAUCGGGAGGAACACCUGUGGCGAAGGCGGCCGACUGGGCCGACCCUGACGCUGAGG
rnacentral:rRNA from 1 species